GCAAGNUCGNUACGAGAAAUCCCGAGCCUUUGCUUGGGAGAGUAAAGUGGCGCACGGGUGUAGUAACGCGUGGGUAACCCACCUUCGAAUCUGGGAUAACUCCGCGAAAGCGGUGCUAAUACCGGAUAAGACCACGGCCGUUUCGGCGGCAGAGGUAAAAGCUGACCUCUCCAUGGAAGUUAGCGUUCGAGGACGGGCCCGCGUCCUAUCAGCUUGUUGGUGGGGUAAAGGCCUACCAAGGCAGCGACGGGUAGCUGGUCUGAGAGGAUGAUCAGCCACACUGGAACUGGAACACGGUCCAGACUCCUACGGGAGGCAGCAGUGAGGAAUUUUGCGCAAUGGGGGAAACCCUGACGCAGCAACGCCGCGUGGGUGAAGAAGGCUUUCGGGUCGUAAAGCCCUGUCAGGUGGGAAGAAACUCUUCAGCACUAAUAAUGCUGAAGCCUGACGGUACCACCAGAGGAAGCACCGGCCAACUCCGUGCCAGCAGCCGCGGUAAUACGGAGGGUGCAAGCGUUGUUCGGAAUCAUUGGGCGUAAAGAGCGUGUAGGCGGCUUGGUAAGUCAGAUGUGAAAGCCCUGGGCUCAACCCAGGAAGUGCAUUUGAAACUACUAGACUUGAGUACGG
rnacentral:rRNA from 1 species